rnacentral:tRNA from 2 species
GGCGGCGUAGCUCAGUUGGCAGAGCAGAGGAAUCAUAAUCCUCGUGUCCGGGGUUCAAGUCCCUGCGCCGCUA